AUUUAUGAUAGUUUAAUUUAGAAUAAUAAUUUGUGAUAUUAUUGGUGAAAAUUUAUUUCUCUAAAUC
rnacentral:tRNA from 1 species